GUUGAACGCUGGCGGCGUGCCUAAUACAUGCAAGUCGAGCGAAUGGAUUAAGAGCUUGCUCUUAUGAAGUUAGCGGCGGACGGGUGAGUAACACGUGGGUAACCUGCCCAUAAGACUGGGAUAACUCCGGGAAACCGGGGCUAAUACCGGAUAACAUUUUGAACCGCAUGGUUCGAAAUUGAAAGGCGGCUUCGGCUGUCACUUAUGGAUGGACCCGCGUCGCAUUAGCUAGUUGGUGAGGUAACGGCUCACCAAGGCAACGAUGCGUAGCCGACCUGGGAGGGUGAUCGGCCACACUGGGACUGAGCCACGGCCCAGACUCCUACGGGAGGCAGCAGUAGGGAAUCUUCCGCAAUGGACGAAAGUCUGACGGAGCAACGCCGCGUGAGUGAUGAAGGCUUUCGGGUCGUAAAACUCUGUUGUUAGGGAAGAACAAGUGCUAGUUGAAUAAGCUGGCACCUUGACGGUACCUAACCAGAAAGCCACGGCUAACUACGUGCCAGCCGCCGCGGUAA
rnacentral:rRNA from 1 species